GACGAGCGCUGGCGGCGUGCCUAAUACAUGCAAGUCGAGCGAAUUUAUGGGAGCUUGCUCCCGUAAAUUAGCGGCGGACGGGUGAGUAACACGUGGGCAACCUGCCUAUAAGACUGGGAUAACUUCGGGAAACCGGAGCUAAUACCGGAUAAUUCCUUUCCUCACAUGGGGGAAGGCUGAAAGAUGGUUUACGCUAUCACUUAUAGAUGGGCCCGCGGCGCAUUAGCUAGNGGUGAGGUAACGGCUCACCAAGGCAACGAUGCGUAGCCGACUGAGAGGGUGAUCGGCCACACUGGGACUGAGACACGGCCCAGACUCCUACGGGAGGCAGCAGUAGGGAAUCUUCCGCAAUGGACGAAAGUCUGACGGAGCAACGCCGCGUGAGUGAUGAAGGUUUCGGA
rnacentral:rRNA from 1 species